rnacentral:rRNA from 1 species
GACGAACGCUGGCGGCGUGCUUAACACAUGCAAGUCGAACGGAAAGGCCCUGCUUUUGUGGGGUGCUCGAGUGGCGAACGGGUGAGUAACACGUGAGUAACCUGCCCUUGACUUUGGGAUAACUUCAGGAAACUGGGGCUAAUACCGGAUAGGAGCUCCUGCUGCAUGGGGGGGGUUGGAAAGUUUCGGCGGUUGGGGCUGGACUCGCGGCUUAUCAGCUUGUUGGUGGGGUAGUGGCUUACCAAGGCUUUGACGGGUAGCCGGCCUUGGAGGGUGACCGGCCACAUUGGGACUGAGAUACGGCCCAGACUCCUACGGGAGGCAGCAGUGGGGAAUAUUGCACAAUGGGCGGAAGCCUGAUGCAGCAACGCCGCGUGCGGGAUGACGGCCUUCGGGUUGUAAACCGCUUUCGCCUGUGACGAAGCGUGAGUGACGGUAAUGGGUAAAGAAGCACCGGCUAACUACGUG